AUUGAACGCUGGUGGCAGGCCUAACACAUGCAAGUCGAGCGGAUGAAGGGAGCUUGCUCCUGGAUUCAGCGGCGGACGGGUGAGUAAUGCCUAGGAAUCUGCCUGGUAGUGGGGGAUAACGUCCGGAAACGGGCGCUAAUACCGCAUACGUCCUGAGGGAGAAAGUGGGGGAUCUUCGGACCUCACGCUAUCAGAUGAGCCUAGGUCGGAUUAGCUAGUUGGUGGGGUAAAGGCCUACCAAGGCGACGAUCCGUAACUGGUCUGAGAGGAUGAUCAGUCACACUGGAACUGAGACACGGUCCAGACUCCUACGGGAGGCAGCAGUGGGGAAUAUUAGACAAUGGGCGAAAGCCUGAUCCAGCCAUGCCGCGUGUGUGAAGAAGGUCUUCGGAUUGUAAAGCACUUUAAGUUGGGAGGAAGGGCAGUAAGUUAAUACCUUGCUGUUUUGACGUUACCAACAGAAUAAGCACCGGCUAACUUCGUG
rnacentral:rRNA from 1 species